UGCAGGUGAUCAACACGCUGCUCUCUCUGGACGGAGCAGCUGAAGGUGUUUCCCAGCUCCUCCACCUUAACUGCACCGUCUCUCCUUAAACACAGUUCAUUGAGUCUUUCUUACAUCUUGCUGCAUCCUCUGUGUCCUUCCUCGUCUUGGAUUUUGUCAUAAAAAGAAUGACGAGCUCUCGAUCCGUCUAUCUCUGAAGCCGAGCAGGCCGAUGAACUUACUGAAAUCUUUGUCAUCCAGGAUGACCGAGCUGUCCUCUAAGACCUGAGGGUGAGAGGGGAGACACGAGGACGACACUGUCUGCAAAGCGUCUCUUCAGAUCUUUGCGUGACUGCCUGGACUCUAUCGGCCAGUCUGCUCUGUCUUUCCUCCAAUCUCACCUUCAUCGCCUGGAAAACUACGUCCAGGAUGCUGCAGGUGCUUUGAGCAGGUUUCAGGUUGGAGGGAAGUGGCGGAGAAUGUCGAUCUGACUUCAGCAUGCACUGAGACUGGAGUAGAGUUUGAAGGGAAACCCUCCUCAUGAAACUUGCGCACACAAGUUUUGCCACAAAAAUUUUCGACGCCCGGCUCAUCUGUAUGAUAUAUUAAGCAAUGGCUGUUUGACUUUGCAGAGAGCGGGAACGGUAAAGCAGAGGAAUCCUGACGCCGCAAGUGGACGGGCCUCAGGGACACUUUCAGAGAGAGGAGGAGUGGGUCAGCAACAGGAACAUGGAACAACGUGGAUGUACUCUGUGGUUCUUUCGUUCCUCAACCCCUUUGCAAACACCUUCUCAUGAAGUCCAAGUUGAGAAACGUCUGCUGUGUGUUGCCGGAGGAGAGAAGAGUGCAUACCUCACACUGCAGCGACUGCCAGAGGCUCUGCAGGCGGCCGGAGCUCGACUGAAACUCCUGAGAAACUGCAGGUAGUCGACUGUUUCAGCACUGCUCUCACACACCUGCAGCAAAGAUGAACACACAAUCAGUGGAAAGGAAGAGAGGAUGAAGAUGAUGGGGCAGGAAAGGGUUUCUGUGAUAGGAGAGGAAAAGACGUGGUAUCCUUUUUUGCAAGAUGCACAAGAAUUUGAUGCAAAGCUGCUUUAAUCUUACAAAUUGAAUAUAUUUCAAAGUAACAAUAUAACAGAUGAUACAAUGUAUAUAAUGAUUUGAUUGAUAUUGUAAUAGUUUAGAAC